GAAAGCUCCAAGGUGCUUCUCUCACCUUGUGGGAGAGCUCAUUGAAGAAAUUCUUGGCCAGGGCAGCAAUCUGAGGCACAGGGUCGAUGAGCAGCACGGCCAUCUCGCUCACCUGCCCUUUCACUUUCACCAUGUCCUUCAGGAUGAGUUCCUGCUCACAGAUGCUGCGGACCAGCUCUGCCUCCGUGUCGUCAGCAGUGGCCCCGACCAGCCCCAGCUCUUCAUCCAUGGUUGUUUCAGAGCUUGUAUUCUGAGGGGAAGGAAGACAGGGAUCUCGGGUACUGUCUUGAUCCAGGCAGCCAACCUGAAGAAAGCUCAACUGGGCAGACUGCUACUACUGGAGGAGAGGGCCUGCUCAGACCUUCCCUGCCUUCCUCAUUCUAUUUGUUUUCUGGGUCUAAGCCUCACCG